rnacentral:rRNA from 1 species
AGCGAACGCUGGCGGCGUGCCUAACACAUGCAAGUCGAGCGAGAAAGGGGUGGCAACACCCUGAGUAAAGCGGCGAACGGGUGAGUAACGCUUGGGAAUCUGCCUAUUAGUGGGGGACAACCCGGGGAAACUCGGGCUAAUACCGCAUACGCACUACGGUGGAAAGCCGGGGACCGCAAGGCCUGGCGCUAACAGAUGAGCCCAAGUCGGAUUAGCUAGUUGGUAGGUAACGGCCUACCAAGGCGACGAUCCGGUAACUGGUCUGAGAGGACGACCAGUCACACCGGAACUGAGACACGGUCCGGACUCCUACGGGGA